GUGGUCCAGUGGUUAGAGCGUCCGCCUCUGAUGCAGAAGGUUGCUGGUUCAACCCCGGCCGAGUCA